GACGAACGCUGGCGGCGUGCUUAACACAUGCAAGUCGAACGGAAAGGCCCUGCUUGCCGGGUACUCGAGUGGCGAACGGGUGAGUAACACGUGGGUGAUCUGCCCUGCACUUCGGGAUAAGCCUGGGAAACUGGGUCUAAUACCGGAUAGGAGCCAUUUUUAGUGUGAUGGUUGGAAAGUUUUUUCGGUGUAGGAUGAGCUCGCGGCCUAUCAGCUUGUUGGUGGGGUAAUGGCCUACCAAGGCGGCGACGGGUAGCCGGCCUGAGAGGGUGGACGGCCACAGUGGGACUGAGAGACGGCCCAGACUCCUACGGGAGGCAGCAGGGGGGAAUAUUGCACAAUGGGCGCAAGCCUGAUGCAGCGACGCCGCGUGGGGGAUGACGGCCUUCGGGUUGUAAACUCCUUUCGCUAGGGACGAAGCUUUUUGUGACGGUACCUAGAUAAGAAGCACCGGCUAACUACGUG
rnacentral:rRNA from 1 species